GAAAAGAGGAUGUGGAACCUCUACUUCAGAUAAAGAGGAGGAAGGAUGUCACUGGAAACUAUAAAGUACAUUUCAUCGACCCCACUCCUGCCAUAUUUACUCUUAACUCUUUGCUUCAGUUCUAGUCCAUCUCACUUUACCCACAACCUUCUGGUCUCUUUCCCCCAUAGCUUUUGCUUUCCCAUGGAAGUCCUUUGAACCCAAAAGCUGAAGGAGCUUGUAGAAAUCUAAGUAAUGCAUGCUGACCUGUGGGUAGAUACCUCUGGCCCAAUAUCUCCAUGGUAGCAAUUCUAAGGAAUAGUUGUCUGAGUUGUCAUGAAGCCAGAAGUAGAAAAUAGCAUAUGCUACAGUCUGAGAAUUUCAGAUGGACACCUGUCCUUGGGAAAAGUUGAGGGAAAGAUGUUGGUGUGGCCCAAGGUCCUAAAGCAUGGAACAUUGGAUUGGCACUUCACACUUUGUGGGAUUCUGAGAAGCAAUUUCUUGCAUGACCAGGUGAUUAUUCAUUUGGAAAGGCAUUUGACUCCAAAUGAAAGAAUUGAAAUGGGGACAGCUGGUCAGAUAGAAAGAGUGAAGGUAAGGGCAUGAACAGACCAUGUGCUGCACUGACACUCACAUAAUUUGGGGGCCUAAAGGAAGACACUCAACAUGUUGGGUCAACUCUCUGUGGAGGACAUCAUAUCAAUAUUCAGGCAGAGGCUCACAAGAUUGCUCCUGGCAGUAGCAGUUGCUCCUAUGUGAAUUUCCCCAAGUUGGUGGUAUUCAUUUAGUUUUACAAGUCUUGGAAGAUUCUCUAUCAUGUCAUGGAUAUUCCCAGGUAAGAUUUUAGAUUUCUUUAUUGUUAUCAGGUUGGCAAAUGGCUACUUCAGUUCGCAUGAGAUAUUGACCAAUUACUAUGAACUAUAAUCUCUUCUUCUGACCCAUACUGUAUGACCUCUCUCUAACUUGGCACUGUUUAUCGAUCCACAGCAUCAUUUCUUGGAGGACAAUCUAUUGUUCUCUCUUGAGAAUAUCUGAUUCCUUCUUUGGAAAAACCCAAUUUCUUAUUAAAAAAUAGGAAAGAUUUGUAUUGAGUCAUAAGUUAUUUGUGUGCUGUUUUCUGCCUCAGUGGCAGGUAUGCCCAUUGAGGUUCAGGGUAUAUCAAAGUACUGAAAUUAAUAAUAAAA
rnacentral:lncRNA from 1 species